UACGGAGGAUCCAAGCGUUAUCCGGAAUUACUGGGCGUAAAGAGUUGCGUAGGUGGCAUAGUAAGUAGGUAGUGAAAGCGUUCGGCUCAACCGGAUACACAUUACCUAAACUGCUAAGCUCGAGGAUGAGAGAGGUUAUUGGAAUUCCCUGUGUAGGAGUGAAAUCCGUAGAUAUUGGGAAGAACACCGGUGGCGAAGGCGGCUCACUGGCUCAUUUCUGACGCUCAGGCGCGACAGCGUGGGGAUCAAACAGG
rnacentral:rRNA from 1 species